GACGUGCUGAAAAGUAUCUAUAUAAUAACUUCCUAUUCCUGUGAAACCAAAAUUGUUCUAAAGGACAGCUUUAAAAAACAAAAAUACAUACAUACAGCUCACAUAAAGAUACAAACACAACACAGUUUAAGGCAUUUGUGACAGAUCUAGUACACUUUAAAGCAGGAAAACAUAUGACAGGGUUUUUUUUAAUAUUAUUGAGUAAAAAAAAUUUAACUCUCAACAAAAGUCACAAAUACAUGAAUGUGUAUCACUUAUGAAAUGCCCUAAUAAAUUAUUUAUUAUUUUUUCUUAUGUACUUUUUGUUAAUAGAGUUAUAUAACAGGAGACCAAGCAUAAAGGAAUAUUGAUUCAAUCUCAAAUUAUCCAAAGACACAUAAAACAUAUGCACAAUUAUUAACAGGCUACAGUUAUUUAUUGUCCACCAAAGUAAAUAAGUGAGUUACUUGCUAACCUUGCCAAAGACACUGCUAUAACACCACUUCCAGGAAAAGAAAAGGAGAUAAAGAAAGAGAAUAAGAAGUCUUUGGUGCAUUGCACACCAAAAGUAAUCAUCAUGCCACCUCAAGAAAUGUCCUCUAGGCACCAAUCUAAUUCUAUUAGGUUGCAGAGAAAAACACCACCUCUAUCCACAUCAGUCAUCAGAAGAUAUGACUGCACUAUAUAAAGCUGUGGGACCUUGAACAAACUUCUUUACCUAUCAAGGCUUCAGUUUGCUCAAGUGAAGUAUGACGCUAGAAGAGAUGCUUCUACUUCCUAAUUGCAGCAUUCUAUGACUAUAUAAAUAAGCUUUUUUCUGGACUCUUUAACAUUGAAGACUUGUAUGAUUUCUACAAAAAGGCCUCCUUAAUUCCUCAGAUUUCAGGCCUAUGGAAAAGAUUUCAAGGGAGUAAGACUGUCCCUUUCAGAAAAGUGGAAAAAAAAAAAUGCAGGCUCUCAAAUAUAAUCUCAAAUAAAUAAUCAACUGACACAUAAAUUUGUCA
rnacentral:lncRNA from 1 species